GACGAACGCUGGCGGCGUGCCUAAUACAUGCAAGUAGAACGCUGAAGGAGGAGCUUGCUUCUCUGGAUGAGUUGCGAACGGGUGAGUAACGCGUAGGUAACCUGCCUGGUAGCGGGGGAUAACUAUUGGAAACGAUAGCUAAUACCGCAUAAUAGCAGUUGUUGCAUGACAACUGUUUGAAAGGUGCAAUUGCACCACUACCAGAUGGACCUGCGUUGUAUUAGCUAGUUGGUGGGGUAACGGCUCACCAAGGCGACGAUACAUAGCCGACCUGAGAGGGUGAUCGGCCACACUGGGACUGAGACGCGGCCCAGACUCCUACGGGAGGCAGCAGUAGGGAAUCUUCGGCAAUGGACGGAAGUCUGACCGAGCAACGCCGCGUGAGUGAAGAAGGUUUUCGGAUCGUAAAGCUCUGUUGUAAGAGAAGAACGAGUGUGAGAGUGGAAAGUUCACACUGUGACGGUAUCUUACCAGAAAGGGACGGCUAACUACGUG
rnacentral:rRNA from 1 species